rnacentral:rRNA from 1 species
GGGAACAUACCCUUUUCUACGGAAUAGCUCUGGGAAACUGGAAUUAAUACCGUAUACGCCCUACGGGGGAAAGAUUUAUCGGGGAAGGAUUGGCCCGCGUCUGAUUAGCUAGUUGGUGAGGUUAUGGCUCACCAAGGCGACGAUCAGUAGCUGGUCUGAGAGGAUGAUCAGCCACACUGGGACUGAGACACGGCCCAGACUCCUACGGGAGGCAGCAGUGGGGAAUAUUGGACAAUGGGGGCAACCCUGAUCCAGCCAUGCCGCGUGAGUGAUGACGGCCUUAGGGUUGUAAAGCUCUUUUCUCCGGGACGAUAAUGACGGUACCGGAGGAAUAAGCCCCGGCUAACUUCGUGCCAGCAGCCGCGGUAAUACGAAGGGGGCUAGCGUUGCUCGGAAUCACUGGGCGUAAAGGGCGCGUAGGCGGCUGAUUUAGUCGAGGGUGAAAGCCCGUGGCUCAACCACGGAAUGGCCUUCGAUACUGGUUGGCUUGAGACCGGAAGAGGACAGCGGAACUGCGAGU